AUUGAACGCUGGCGGCAUGCCUUACACAUGCAAGUCGAACGGCAGCACGGGAGCAAUCCUGGUGGCGAGUGGCGAACGGGUGAGUGAUAUAUCGGAACGUGCCCAGUCGUGGGGGAUAACGUAGCGAAAGCUACGCUAAUACCGCAUACGAUCUAUGGAUGAAAGCGGGGGAUCGCAAGACCUCGCGCGAUUGGAGCGGCCGAUAUCAGAUUAGGUAGUUGGUGAGGUAAAGGCUCACCAAGCCGACGAUCUGUAGCUGGUCUGAGAGGACGACCAGCCACACUGGGACUGAGACACGGCCCAGACUCCUACGGGAGGCAGCAGUGGGGAAUUUUGGACAAUGGGCGCAAGCCUGAUCCAGCAAUGCCGCGUGCAGGAUGAAGGCCUCGGUUGUAAC
rnacentral:rRNA from 1 species